UACCGGUGGCAGCGCCGCUGGUACCGCCGCGGCUGCGCGGUGGCGGUCAAGGCGCACGCGCGGCGGACCCUGUACUUAGGCCCGCGGCGGUGGCAGCGGCACGGCUUCGGAAGUUUCCGGUUCGGGUUCGGGCGGGACCCCGUCAGCGGCCGCUGCCGCUGGUGGGGCCGCGCGCGCGGGGGAGGGUGCGUGCGGCUGGAGAAGCGCGCGUCGUCGCUCCCGGUUCGUUUCUUCUCGUGUAUGUACCCCAAACUCUUCACCACCAACGGCGGGCGCGGUCUCCACUUCUUCGGGGCAAGUGAGAUGUUGCGCCGUAGCGACCGUAUGAACCCCCUGACGUAUAUACUUGAGAUACGAGCCUCUGUGAAGAAGAAAGGAGGUGACUCGUAGUUACUUAUAUUAUUCGCACACUACCUACAACACUUUACACUUAGUGUCCUAGACGACGACUUGUUUGAGGACCCUCUCCUAAAAGAUUGACUUCUUCUUUCCCUGUAUGAAGCAACCCCUUCCUUGUAGCAAUCGUCGUUUUGAGCAUGUUCUUUUGCCCGUCCUUAACGUCACAUGUUAGCUCGUAGAAGUGAACUUUGUGACUAGCCUAUAGAAAUGGAGUGCUUAAAGUUCGCGAACCUCGUUUACUACAAGGUCAAUCCUAAGUGUUCACCACGAAGUAGUGUCUUAUAACGUCUACUCGACGCGAGUUCGAAGGUCUUUUGUUGUAGUUGAAGACAUGUUAGAGUCGUUGGACGUUUCGCUACUCGUCAAAGUCGUUCUAGCUCAAUCAACUCCUUGUAUAUACUAGCACGUAUGACCUCCGGCACGUUCUCCGACUACCAAUACUAGUCUUCUAACACCGUGUAGCUCCAGUACUACUAAGACUAGACUUCUAACACCGUGUAAUUCCAGUACUCGUGUUAACUCUGGGUUCGAAACACACCUAAGGCACAUUCUAUACUCUACAUAC
rnacentral:rRNA from 1 species